UAGGGAAUCUUCGGCAAUGGACGAAAGUCUGACCGAGCAACGCCGCGUGUGUGAAGAAGGUUUUCGGAUCGUAAAACCCUGUUGUUAGAGAAGAACAAGGACGGUAGUAACUGAACGUCCCCUGACGGUAUCUAACCAGAAAGCCACGGCUAACUACGUGCCAGCAGCCGCGGUCAUACGUAGUUGGCAAGCGUUGUCCGGAUUUAUUGGGCGCAAAGCGAGCGAAGGCGGUUUCUUUAGUCUGUGGUGAAAGCCUCCGGCUCAACCGGGGAGGGUCAUUGGAAACUGGGAGACUUGAGUGCAGAAGAGGAGAGUGGAAUUCCAUGUGUAGCGGUGGAAUGCGUAGAUAUAUGGAGGAACAACAGUGGCGAAGGCGGCUCUCUGGUCGGUACCUGACGCUGAGGCUCGAAAGCGUGGGGAGCAAACAGG
rnacentral:rRNA from 1 species